rnacentral:rRNA from 1 species
UGGGGAAUAUUGCACAAUGGAGGGAACUCUGAUGCAGCGACGCCGCGUGAACGAAGAAGGCUUUCGAGUCGUAAAGUUCUUUUAUAUGGGAAGAUAAUGACGGUACCAUAAGAAAAAGCCCCGGCUAACUACGUGCCAGCAGCCGCGGUAAUACGUAGGGGGCUAGCGUUGUCCGGAAUCACUGGGCGUAAAGGGUUCGCAGGCGGAAAUGCAAGUCAGGUGUAAAAGGCAGUAGCUUAACUACUGUAAGCAUUUGAAACUGCAUAUCUUGAGAAGAGUAGAGGUAAGUGGAAUUUUUAGUGUAGCGGUGAAAUGCGUAGAUAUUAAAAAGAAUACCGGUGGCGAAGGCGGCUUACUGGGCUCAUUCUGACGCUGAGGAGCGAAAGCGUGGGUAGCAAACAGG